rnacentral:rRNA from 1 species
GACGAACCACACGAACGUUAUUCGGAAUUACUGGGCUUAAAGGGUGCGUAGGCGGCGCGGUAAGUAGGGUGUGAAAUCCCUCGGCUCAACCGAGGAACUGCGCUCUAAACUACCGUGCUCGAGGGAGAUAGAGGUGAGCGGAACUUAGGGUGGAGCGGUGAAAUGCGUUGAUAUCCUAAGGAACACCGGUGGCGAAAGCGGCUCACUGGAUCUCUUCUGACGCUGAGGCGCGAAAGCGUGGGGAGCAAACAGG